rnacentral:rRNA from 2 species
GGGUAGUUUGACUGGGGCGGUCUCCUCCCAAAGAGUAACGGAGGAGCACGAAGGUGGGCUAAUCACGGUUGGACAUCGUGAGGUUAGUGCAAUGGCAUAAGCCCGCUUAACUGCGAGAAUGACGGUUCGAGCAGGUGCGAAAGCAGGUCAUAGUGAUCCGGUGGUUCUGUAUGGAAGGGCCAUCGCUCAACGGAUAAAAGGUACUCCGGGGAUAACAGGCUGAUACCGCCCAAGAGUUCAUAUCGACGGCGGUGUUUGGCACCUCGAUGUCGGCUCAUCACAUCCUGGGGCUGAAGUCGGUCCCAAGGGUAUGGCUGUUCGCCAUUUAAAGUGGUACGCGAGCUGGGUUUAGAACGUCGUGAGACAGUUCGGUCCCUAUCUGCCGUGGGCGUUGGAAGAUUGAAGGGGGCUGCUCCUAGUACGAGAGGACCGGAGUGGACGAACCUCUGGUGUUCGGGUUGUGUCGCCAGACGCAUUGCCCGGUAGCUAAGUUCGGAAUUGAUAAGCGCUGAAAGCAUCUAAGCGCGAAGCGAGCCCUGAGAUGAGUCUUCCCUGACAGUUUAACUGUCCUAAAGGGUUGUUCGAGACUAGAACGUUGAUAGGCAGGGUGUGUAAGCGUUGUGAGGCGUUGAGCUAACCUGUACUAAUUGCCCGUGAGGCUUAACCAUACAACACCCAAGG